GACCUGUUAGCUCAGUUGGUUAGAGGGUGGUGCUAAUAACGCCAAGGUCAUGGGUUAGACCCCCAUAUGGGCCA